GGACCCGCACAAGCAGUGGAGCAUGUGGUUUAAUUCGAAGAUACGCGCAGAACCUUACCCGGCCUUGACAUCCUUGGAAUCCCUGUGAAAGCAGGGAGUGCCACCGCAAGGUGGAACCAGGUGACAGGUGCUGCAUGGCUGUCGUCAGCUCGUGUCGUGAGAUGUUGGUUAAGUCCCGCAACGAGCGCAACCCCUAUCGUUAGUUGCCAUCAGUUCGGCUGAGCACUCUAGCGAGACUGCCGGUGACAAACCGGAGGAAGGUGGGGGAUGACGUCAAGUCCGUCAUGGCCUUUAUGGUCGGGGCUACACACGUCCUACAAUGGCAGGUACAAUGAGCAGCGAUACCGCGAGGUGGAGCA
rnacentral:rRNA from 1 species